UGGGGAAUAUUGCACAAUGGGCGCAAGCCUGAUGCAGCCAUGCCGCGUGUGUGAAGAAGGCCUUCGGGUUGUAAAGCACUUUCAGCGAGGAGGAAGGUGGUGAACUUAAUACGUUCAUCAAUUGACGUUACUCGCAGAAGAAGCACCGGCUAACUCCGUGCCAGCAGCCGCGGUAAUACGGAGGGUGCAAGCGUUAAUCGGAAUUACUGGGCAUAAAGCGCACGCAGGCGGUUUGUUAAGUCAGAUGUGAAAUCCCCGGGCUCAACCUGGGAACUGCAUUUGAAACUGGCAAGCUAGAGUCUCGUAGAGGGGGGUAGAAUUCCAGGUGUAGCGGUGAAAUGCGUAGAGAUCUGGAGGAAUACCGGUGGCGAAGGCGGCCCCCUGGACGAAGACUGACGCUCAGGUGCGAAAGCGUGGGGCAGCAAACAGGAUUAGAUACCCUGGUAGUCCACGCUGUAAACGAUGUCGAUUUGGAGGUUGUGCCCUUGAGGCGUGGCUUCCGGAGCUAACGCGUUAAA
rnacentral:rRNA from 1 species